rnacentral:rRNA from 1 species
AGUCGAGCGCGUGARCUAAACKGAUCUCUUCGGAGUGACGUUUAGSGGAUCGMGCGGCGGAUGGGUGAGUAACACGUGGGCAACCUGCCUAUAAGACUGGGAUAACUUACGGAAACGUGAGCUAAUACCGGAUGAAACCUCUUAUCACCUGGUAAGAGGAUGAAAGAUGGCUUUUAGCUAUCACUUAUAGAUGGGCCCGCGGCGCAUUAGCUAGUUGGUGAGAUAAAAGCUCACCAAGGCAACGAUGCGUAGCCGACCUGAGAGGGUGAUCGGCCACACUGGGACUGAGACACGGCCCAGACUCCUACGGGAGGCAGCAGUAGGGAAUCUUCCGCAAUGGACGAAAGUCUGACGGAGCAACGCCGCGUGAACGAAGAAGGUUCUCGGAUCGUAAAGUUCUGUUGUUAGGGAAGAACACGUACCAUUCGAAUAGGGUGGUACCUUGACGGUACCUAACGAGAAAGCCCCGGCUAACUACGUGCCAGCAGCCGCGGUAAUACGUAGGGGGCAAGCGUUGUCCGGAAUUAUUGGGCGUAAAGCGCUCGCAGGCGGUUUUUUAAGUCUGAUGUGAAAUCUUGCGGCUCAACCGCAAGCGGUCAUUGGAAACUGGAGAACUUGAGGACAGAAGAGGAGAGUGGAAUUCCACGUGUAGCGGUGAAAUGCGUAGAGAUGUGGAGGAACACCAGUGGCGAAGGCGACUCUCUGGUCUGUAACUGACGCUGAGGAGCGAAAGCGUGGGUAGCGAACAGGAUUAGAUACCCUGGUAGUCCACGCCGUAAACGAUGAGUGCUAGGUGUUAGGGGGUUUCCGCCCCUUAGUGCUGGCGUUAACGCAUUAAGCACUCCGCCUGGGGAGUACGGCCGCAAGGCUGAAACUCAAA